ACUCCUACGGGAGGCAGCAGUGGGAAGUAUUGCACAAUGGGGAAACCCUGAUGCAGCCAUGCCGCGUGUGUGAAGAAGGCCUUCGGUUGUAAAGCACUUUCAGUAGGGAGGAAGGUAGUGUAGUUAACACCUGCAUUAUUUGUACGUUACCUACAGAAGAAGCACCGGCUAACUCCGUGCCAGCAGCCGCGGUAAUACGGAGGGUGCGAGCGUUAAUCGGAAUUACUGGGCGUAAAGCGCAUGCAGGCGGCCUGUUAAGUCAGAUGUGAAAGCCCGGGGCUUAACCUCGGAAUUGCAUUUGAAACUGGCAGGCUAGAGUCUUGUAGAGGGGGUAG
rnacentral:rRNA from 1 species